rnacentral:rRNA from 1 species
CAGCAGCCGCGGGAAUACGGAGGGUGCAAGCGUUAAUCGGAAUAACUGGGCGUAAAGCGUGCGCAGGCGGUUUGUUAAGACAGAUGUGAAAUCCCCGGGCUCAACCUGGGAACUGCAUUUGAGACUGUAUGGCUAGAGUGUGUCAGAGGGGGGUAGAAUUCCACGUGUAGCAGUGAAAUGCGUAGAUAUCGGAAGGAACACCAGUGGCGAAGGCGGCUACCUGGACUGAGACUGACACUGAGGCGCGAGAGCGUGGGGAGCAAACAGGAUUAGAUACCCCCGUAGUCCCUGUCUCUUAUAC